ACGCUCGACACCUACGGGGGCAGCAGUGGGGAAUAUUGCACAAUGGAGGAAACUCUGAUGCAGCGACGCCGCGUGGAGGAAGAAGGUCUUCGGAUUGUAAACUCCUGUUGUUGAGGACGAUAAUGACGGUACUCAACAAGGAAGUGACGGCUAACUACGUGCCAGCAGCAGCGGUAAUCUGAGCGGGCUGGCAAGGC
rnacentral:rRNA from 1 species